rnacentral:rRNA from 1 species
GACGAACGCUGGCGGCGUGCUUAACACAUGCAAGUCGAACGAUGAAGCCGGAGCUUGCUCUGGUGAAUUAGUGGCGAACGGGUGAGUAACACGUGAGUAACCUGCCCUUGACUCUGGGAUAACUGCUAGAAAUGGUAGCUAAUACCGGAUACGACCCUCGGAGGCAUCUCCAGGGGGUGGAAAGAAUUUCGGUCAAGGAUGGACUCGCGGCCUAUCAGGUAGUUGGUGAGGUAACGGCUCACCAAGGCGACGACGGGUAGCCGGCCUGAGAGGGUGACCGGACACACUGGGACUGAGAGACGGCCCAGACUCCUACGGGAGGCAGCAGUGGGGAAUAUUGCACAAUGGGCGCAAGCCUGAUGCAGAAACGCCGCGUGAGGGAUGACGGCCUUCGGGUUGUAAACCUCUUUUAGUAGGGAAGAAGCGAAAGUGACGGUACCUGCAGAAAAAGCACCGGCUAACUACAUGCCAGCCGCCGCGGUAA